AGCUUGCUUCUCUUGAGAGCGGCGGACGGGUGAGUAAUGCCUAGGAAUCUGCCUGGUAGUGGGGGAUAACGUCCGGAAACGGACGCUAAUACCGCAUACGUCCUACGGGAGAAAGCAGGGGACCUUCGGGCCUUGCGCUAUCAGAUGAGCCUAGGUCGGAUUAGCUAGUUGGUGGGGUAAUGGCUCACCAAGGCGACGAUCCGUAACUGGUCUGAGAGGAUGAUCAGUCACACUGGAACUGAGACACGGUCCAGACUCCUACGGGAGGCAGCAGUGGGGAAUAUUGGACAAUGGGCGAAAGCCUGAUCCAGCCAUGCCGCGUGUGUGAAGAAGGUCUUCGGAUUGUAAAGCACUUUAAGUUGGGAGGAAGGGCAGUAAAUUAAUACUUUGCUGUUUUGACGUUACCGACAGAAUAAGCACCGGCUAACUCUGUGCCAGCAGCCGCGGUAAUACAGAGGGUGCAAGCGUUAAUCGGAAUUACUGGGCGUAAAGCGCGCGUAGGUGGUUCGUUAAGUUGGAUGUGAAAUCCCCGGGCUCAACCUGGGAACUGCAUUCAAAACUGACGAGCUAGAGUAUGGUAGAGGGUGGUGGAAUUUCCUGUGUAGCGGUGAAAUGCGUAGAUAUAGGAAAGGAACACCAGUGG
rnacentral:rRNA from 1 species